UUCCGGUUGAUCCCGCCGGACCCGACUGCUAUUUGGGUGAGGAUAAGCCAUGCGAGUUGAAUGGGAAACCUAAAUUUCCCAUGGCAAAUUGCUCAGUAACACAUGAUCAACUUACCCUAUAGAGAAAAAUAACCUCGGGAAACUGAGGAUAAUGUUUCAUAGUUGAAUUGGCUUGGAAAAGUUUUUCGACGAAAGGGGUAAAAAAAAUGGUUUUUAUCUGCUAUAGGAUAGGAUCGUGUUCGAUUAUGGUUGUUGGUGAGGUAAUGGCUCACCAAGCCGAUAAUCGAUAGGGGCCGUGAGAGCGGGAGCCCCGAGAUGGGUACUGAGACAACGACCCAGGCCUUACGAGGCGCAGCAGGCGCGAAACCUCCGCAAUACACGAAAGUGUGACGGGGUUACCCAAAGUGUUCAAUAGAACUGUGGUAGGUGAGUAAUGUUCCCUACUAGAAAGGAGAGGGCAAGGCUGGUGCCAGCCGCCGCGGUAAAACCAGCUCUUCAAGUGGUCGGGAUAAUUAUUGGGCUUAAAGUGUCCGUAGCCGGUUUAGUAAGUUCCUGGUAAAAUCGGGUAGCUUAACUAUCUAUAUGCUAGGAAUACUACUAUACUAGAGGGCGGGAGAGGUCUGAGGUACUGCAGGGGUAGGGGUGAAAUCUUAUAAUCCUUGUUGGACCGCCAGUGGCGAAGGCGUCAGACUGGAACGCGCCUGACGGUGAGGGACGAAAGCCAGGGGAGCGAACCGGAUUAGAUACCCGGGUAGUCCUGGCCGUAAACGAUGCAUACUACGUGAUGGCACGGCCAUGAGCCGUGUCAGUGCCGUAGGGAAACCGUUAAGUGUGCCGCCUGGGAAGUACGGUCGCAAGGCUAAAACUUAAAGGAAUUGGCGGGGGAGCACCACAAGGGGUGAAGCCUGCGGUUCAAUUGGAUUCAACGCCGGAAAUCACUAGUGCGGCCG
rnacentral:rRNA from 1 species